rnacentral:rRNA from 1 species
GAUGAACGCUGGCGGCGUGCCUAAUACAUGCCAGUCGAGCGAACGGACGAGAAGCUUGCUUCUCUGAUGUUAGCGGCGGACGGGUGAGUAACACGUGGAUAACCUACCUAUAAGACUGGGAUAACUUCGGGAAACCGGAGCUAAUACCGGAUAAUAUUUUGAACCGCAUGGUUCAAAAGUGAAAGACGGUCUUGCUGUCACUUAUAGAUGGAUCCGCGCUGCAUUAGCUAGUUGGUAAGGUAGCGGCUUACCAAGGCAACGAUGCAUAGCCGACCUGAGAGGGUGAUCGGCCACACUUGAACUGAGACACGGUCCAGACUCCUACGGGAGGCAGCAGUAGGGAAUCUUCCGCAAUGGGCGAAAGCCUAACGGAGCAACGCCGCGUGAGUGAUGAAGGUCUUCGGAUCGUAAAACUCUGUUAUUAGGGAAGAACAUAUGUGUAAGUAACUGUGCACAUCUUGACGGUACCUAAUCAGAAAGCCACGGCUAACUACGUG